GAUCAGUAAAUAAAUCACAAAUAAAUUCAAAUUGAUUCAAAAUUUAAAAAAAGGGAAAAUUCGAAAACUCUCCCCUUAACCCACGUUAGAAAAAACCGCCCUCUCUCCCCUAAAUCUCUCUCACAUCCAAACCAAAUCACCUCCCUAUAAUAUACGUUUCACCACCAACCCGUUUUUCUAUAAUAUACGUUUCACGUCUCUCACAAGAACAAGGCAACUCUCAUUCAAUCGAAUACAAGCCGCAACUCAAAGAUCGAAUUCGAACUCAAGCCUCUUGCAACGACAAAGCUACCUUUUCUCCCCAUUCCAAUCUAGCCGAGUUCAAGAAAACUGAGAAACUAAGAGGAGAGAACGAGAGCCGCAAUCUACCACCGGUCUAAAAAAAUAAAAAAAAAAAAAAAAAAAAAAAAAAACGAGAGCCGCAAUCUCUUUUGUUCGAGCCAAUUCGUUCCCAAUCUACAAAGGUACAUCAAUUCCCUCUACAAUAGCCUCAAUUUUGUGCAUCUCAUAACUUUGUAACCAAUCUAAUAAUCUGGGAAUCAAAACAAAACCGAAUGAAAGAUUGAACAUUUAACGAAUCGGAAUCAACUUAAAGAACCUUAUCUUGCGGGGUGGUUCGGGGCUGCGCGGUGUCGUUUCGGAGCUGUUCGGGGACCGUCGAGCAGCCACCGGACAGCAACAAUGGGCAGCGACAGCAGGCGCCUGACUCGGCGCUUCUGUACGACAGCUGUGACCCCACGCGACGUGCGAUGGAGGGGCGAGCAGUAGCUGACCGACGAGCAGAGGCCGCCGGCGUGAGGGUCGACGCGAUGGUGGAGGAUCUGGACGCGGCGACAGCAGCGUCUCCCGGCAGCGACGACGGAGGAUCCCGGCGACGAGCAGCAGUGGCGGUUCAGGCGGAGCAGCCAUGGCUGGCGGAACCACGCCUUCCAUCUCCCGGCUGAGAAAUCACCGGCGUUGCUGCCAUGGUUGUGCGGUAAUAUUAGAGAUGGAGAUGGCGACGGAGGAUUUUGGGGAAACUUCUCCAAUUUCUGUCGAGAUAGGGAGAAUUAGAGAGUUAGGAUGGUGAGGGAGAGAGAAAGGGUGUUGACCGAGAUGGAGGGGGUAGGGAAAUCUUUGCUUUUGUGUUUGAUUUGGGCCACUAUUUAUUUUGUUGGGCCCAAAUUUACUAUUUAUUUUGUUGGGCCCAAAUUUUUAUUUGGAGAAAUAAGGAUGAGUUAAUAAUUGUUUGGGCCGGAUUAGAUAAUUGUGUUGGGUUGCUCUUGAUAAAAUACUGGGCCAAUAAUUUAAUUUUGGGGGUUCUUUAAUUAA